UACGAAGGGGGCAAGCGUUGUUCGGAAUUACUGGGCGUAAAGCGUGCGCAGGCGGUUUUGUAAGUCUGUCGUGAAAUCCCCGGGCUCAACCUGGGAAUUGCGAUGGAGACUGCAAGGCUGGAGUCUGGCAGAGGGGGGUAGAAUUCCACGUGUAGCAGUGAAAUGCGUAGAGAUGUGGAGGAACACCGAUGGCGAAGGCAGCCCCCUGGGUCAAGACUGACGCUCAUGCACGAAAGCGUGGGGAGCAAACAGG
rnacentral:rRNA from 1 species